AUAGAAUUGAAUUAUACAAAUUUUGUGCGAGUUCUCUCGUACAGGAAGUUGGGUGCAAUUCCCACACAGGAGCGCUACUGUGAUAACGGAGCAGUUUUCGAAAAGAACCUGAAUAGUAUGUUCUUUGACCACUGGAAGUAAUUCUGGGAAGGUGAAAAAUUUGCGGUGAUGUUUAAGUCAGAAUACAUUUGUAUAAUGAAAUGUAC
rnacentral:ncRNA from 2 species